GACGAACGCUGGCGGCGUGCUUAACACAUGCAAGUCGAACGGAAAGGCCCUGCUUUUGUGGGGUGCUCGAGUGGCGAACGGGUGAGUAACACGUGAGUAACCUGCCCUUGACUUUGGGAUAACUUCAGGAAACUGGGGCUAAUACCGGAUAGGAGCUCCUGCUGCAUGGUGGGGAUUGGAAAGUUUCGGCGGUUGGGGAUGGAUUCGCGGCUUAUCAGCUUGUUGGUGGGGUAGUGGCUUACCAAGGCUUUGACGGGUAGCCGGCCUGAGAGGGUGACCGGCCACAUUGGGACUGAGAUACGGCCCAGACUCCUACGGGAGGCAGCAGUGGGGAAUAUUGCACAAUGGGCGGAAGCCUGAUGCAGCAACGCCGCGUGCGGGAUGACGGCCUUCGGGUUGUAAACCGCUUUCGCCUGUGACGAAGCGUGAGUGACGGUAAUGGGUAAAGAAGCACCGGCUAACUACGUG
rnacentral:rRNA from 1 species